GCUGGAAAAUCUCCUAUUUGUGAGGCAGGGAAAUAGUGGUGUUGGUUUGUGCUUUAAUGAUUCAAACAGUUGUUCUAGUAUUCAAUGAGAGUAUUUCUGAUGCAGCAAGUAUACAUUGUUGGAAGACACAAAGGUAAAGCCCAAUGAAAGAGGAAAUCUAUUUACCAUUCCUUCAAAUUAAUAUUGCCGAAUUCAACAUGUAUCUCGAU
rnacentral:misc_RNA from 1 species